rnacentral:rRNA from 1 species
AGUGAACGCUGGCGGUAGGCCUAACAUAUGCAAGUCGAACGGCAGCACAGUAAGAGCUUGCUCUUACGGGUGGCGAGUGGCGGACGGGUGAGGAAUACAUCGGAAUCUACUUUUUCGUGGGGGAUAACGUAGGGAAACUUACGCUAAUACCGCAUACGACCUACGGGUGAAAGCAGGGGAUCUUCGGACCUUGCGCGAUUGAAUGAGCCGAUGUCGGAUUAGCUAGUUGGCGGGGUAAAGGCCCACCAAGGCGACGAUCCGUAGCUGGUCUGAGAGGAUGAUCAGCCACACUGGAACUGAGACACGGUCCAGACUCCUACGGGAGGCAGCAGUGGGGAAUAUUGGACAAUGGGCGCAAGCCUGAUCCAGCCAUACCGCGUGGGUGAAGAAGGCCUUCGGGUUGUAAAGCCCUUUUGUUGGGAAAGAAAAGCGGCAGGUUAAUACCCCGCUGUUCUGACGGUACCCAAAGAAUAAGCACCGGCUAACUUCGUG